CGGGAUGUGGCUCAGUCUGGCUAGAGCGCUGCGUUCGGGACGCAGAAGCCGGAGGUUCGAAUCCUCUCAUCCCGA
rnacentral:tRNA from 1 species